rnacentral:rRNA from 1 species
CGUAACGCGUAUGCAAUCUGCCUUCCCCAGAGGGAUAGCCCAUAGAAAUUUGGAUUAAUACCUCAUAGCAUUACAGGAUGGCAUCAUCCGGUAAUUAAAGACACAACGGGGGAAGAUGAUCAUGCGUCCCAUUAUCUACUUGGUAAGGUAACUGCUUACCCAGGCCACUAUGGGUAGGGGGCCUGACAGGGAGAUCCGCCCCACUGGAACUGACACACUGACCACACUCCUACCGGAGGCAGCAGUGAGGAAUAUUGGACAAUGGGCGCAAACCUGAACCAACCAUGCCGCGUGCGGGAUGACCGUCCUAUGGAUUGUAAACUGCUUUUGUACGGGAAGAAACACUGAUUCGUGAAUCAGCCUGACGGUACCGUAAGAAUAAGGAUCGGCUAACUCCGUGCCAGCAGCCUCGGUAAUACGGAGGAGCCACUCGUUAUCCGGAAUCAUUGGGUUUAAAGGGUCUGUAGGCGGUCUUGUAACUCAGUGGUGAAAGCCCAUCGCUCAACGGUGGAACGGCCAUUGAUACUGCACGACUUGAAUUACCGGGAAGUAACUAGAAUAUGUAGUGUAGCGGUGAAAUGCUUAGAUAUUACAUGGAAUACCAAUUGCGAAGGCAUGUUACUACCGGUGGAUUGACGCUGAUGGACGAAAGCGUGGGGAGCGAACAGGAUUAGAUACCCUGGUACUCCACGCCGUCUACGAUGGAUACUAGCUGCUGACGGCGACUUCAGAGGCUAAGCGAAAGCGAUAACUAUCCCACCUGUGGACUACGAACGCAAGAUUGAAACUCAUNGGAAUUGACGGUGGCACGACCCACUCNGUGCA